GUCCUUUUGAAUUUAAUUUAAGGUCUGACCUGCCCAGUGAUGAAUUUAACGGCCGCGGUAUACUGACCGUGCAAAGGUAGCAUAAUCAUUAGUCUUUUAAUAGAGGGCUGGAAUGAACGGUUUCACGAGGAACUGACUGUCUCAUUUUAUUUGUUUUAAAACUUAAUUUUUUAGUUAAAAAGCUAAAAUUUCAUUGGAAGACGAGAAGACCCUAUAGAUCUUUAUAUGAAGUUUUGUAUUUAUUUAUAUAUUAACAUAAUUACAAUAAAUUUAUAUUUUGUUGGGGUGACAAAAAUAUAUAAUUAACUUUUUCAUUUAUUUACCAUUGAUAUAUGAAUAUUAGAUCCAUUAUUAUUGAUUGUUAGAAUAAGUUACCUUAGGGAUAACAGCGUAAUCCUCCUCCAGAGUUCAUAUUUACAGGAGGGCUUGCGACCUCGAUGUUGGAUUAAGAUAAUAAUUAGGUGUAGCCGCUUAAUUUAUAGGUCUGUUCGACCUUUAAAUUCUU
rnacentral:rRNA from 1 species